AGUAGAAUUGCUGGGUCAUAUGGUAACUGCAGGUUUAACUUUUAGAAGAACUGCCAAACUGUUAUCCAAAGUGGCUGUAUCAUUUUACAUUCCCACCAGCAGG
rnacentral:pre_miRNA from 4 species